UGGAAGGGCUGGUUCUCACCCAAAAAGUGUCAAAUUCUGGCAUAACCAGAGUUGAAAAGGCCAAGAUUGGGCUUAUUCAGUUUUGCUUAUCUGCUCCCAAAACAGACAUGGAUAAUCAAAUAGUGGUUUCUGACUAUGCCCAGAUGGACCGAGUGCUGCGAGAAGAGAGAGCCUAUAUUUUAAAUUUAGUGAAGCAAAUUAAAAAAACAGGAUGUAAUGUCCUUCUCAUACAGAAGUCUAUUCUAAGGGUGGUAUUUCCAACAUUUUGGAGGAACUGGUUGUCCAGCCUCUGUUGGUAUCAGUCAGUGCUCUGACUCUUGCAACUGAAACUGUUCGGAGCAUUCUGAAAAUAGAUGAUGUGGUAAACACUCGAUAAUCUGGAUAACUGACUAGCACCAUUAUGAUCACCAGUAUUGUGGCUGGAAUGGAAGAAGAUCACCUUGGUGUUCCUUGUUUGGAAGAUUAUUUCCUCUGAAUUUCUGGGCUUGGUCUUCCAGUUGGCAUUUGCCUGAAGUUGUAUUGAAACAAUUUAAUGAAAAUACUAAAUAUUUGGUUUCAAAAGGCAGAUCGAUUUAUCUUCUCCCAAUGUUCUGUUAUUUCUGAUACUUUUGAAAAACUAAUAAAAGAAGCGU
rnacentral:sRNA from 1 species